rnacentral:tRNA from 1 species
GGGCGGUUAGCUCAGCGGUAGAGCACUGCUUUCACACGGCAGGGGUCACAGGUUCGAACCCUGUACCGCCCACCA